rnacentral:lncRNA from 1 species
UUUUUUUUUUUUUUUUUCAGAGUAUUUUCUUUCUUGUCCAGAUUAGCUAAAUUGGAUUGUUCUAUGCUAAAUUCACUUAAUCACUACUCUAUUAUUUUUGAAUUUUUUAGUUCUGUUUUUUUCACUUGGUUCUUUUUUUAAAAAAACUUCUACUACCUUUCUGAGACUUCUACUUUUUUACUUUUUUCAAGAAGCUUUAUAAUUACUUGCUAAAGCAUUUUUACCAUGACUGUUUUUAACUUCUUCAGAUAACCACAACAUUUGGUUAAUCUUGAGGUUGGCUUGGUUAACUGUCUUUUCUCAUCCUGCUUAUGAUUUUCCUUCUAAUUGUGAUUUUUCCGGUUCUUGAUAGAUGGGUGAUGUUUUAGUUUAUCCUGCAUUUUUUUUUCCUUUUUAAGUUAGAGGAAUCUGAAUCUAUUCAAAUGUUUUAUUUUAGCAGGCAUGUGCCCUGUUUAGGUUUAAUUUGAAUGUCCUGUCCUACUUUUGUAGGCCAUGUUUUCGCAGGCAGUCUUGCUAUCAGAGCUGAGGGGAUGCUGUUUUGAUCACUUAGUUUAUCUGAUGUUGCUGGGCCUCCAACUGGUGCUGACUGGUACUUCCUGAGAUGGCGAAGGUUUUUCUGUACUCUGAGAUGCCGUGUAUCUCUAUGUAAGGGGAGGAGACUCUGGACCACAGGAAUGAAGAGAACAUCUUAGGUCAGGCAGCUCAAUCAUAUGCGAUAACCUGGGUCAACCAGCCAGUAGCCUCAUGAAGUAUGGGAGGGAAUUCUCCAGUGUCAGCAUUCAAAGACAUCAUGAGUUUUUACUUCUCAUUUUCUUUUAAGUGAAAUAAUCGCAUGGAAAUUAAAGAAUAAAUAUAUGAAAUAUAUGAAACUUAUAUGAAAUAUAAGAAUGUGAGAAGGCCUACAGCGUGGGGAUCCCCAGGCUAUUUGAACAAUGAAUGUCUGUGUUACACAUCUUUGCUCACUUUUUCUCUAUUUUUGUAGUUCAUUGUGGAACCAGCACAGAUUUUCAUACGAAAGUUAUUUCUUUUUAACCUCAAAAAGUGACAGAAUGGAGUGUAUCAUGAAAAAGUCUGACAUCAAAACCUCAAAAUGUGAUAUUGAUUGGGUGAGAUAGAAUUCCAUGGAAUUUCAUUGCCAAACCAGUGAAGUGCUAAUUUUGACAUUUGUACCAGCUAACGUAGCUGUGAAGAAACACACCAAUACACUUCUAAGGACAGCAUAGACCAAGAUCUAGGUUUCAUAUGGAUGAAUUUAUUCUUCCCUUUGAGGCAAGACAAGAAGGAAAGAAAGUAUUGGGAAUAAUGCUGCCCUCCCAUCCUCAAGGGCCAGUGGGAACUCUAAUAUUGAUUGGGUGAGAUACAAUUCCAUGGAAUUUUACCACUGAACCAGUGGAGGGCUAAUUUUGUCAUUUGUACCAGUUAACUAACUUGGGAGGAAACAGAACAACACACUCCUGAGAUUGGUUUUCACAGAAUUCCAUGGACUUUAACUGCUGAACCAAUGAUGCACUGAUUUUGUCACUUGUACCAGCUAACGCAUCUGGGAGGCAACAAAACAAUACUCUCCUGAGGUUAAUGUGGACCAAAAACUAGAUUUCAUAUAAAAGAGUUUAUUCCUUCUACUUGAGGUGUGACAUGAAGGAAAGUAAUGGAAAUAAUUCUGCCCUCCCAUUCUCAAGGGCCAGGGGGAAUUCAAAUAUUGAACGGAAGUGAUUUUGGAAUUGCAUGGAAUUCUCACUGCCAUCCCAAAGAAAUGCUGAUCUUGUCACUCUUACCUGUUUCAUUCCCUGGGGGCAGAACAAAAGGACGCACUCCAAAGAUCGGCAUGAACCAAGAACUGGGUUUCAUAUAAAAUAUUUUAUUCUGUCCUCUUGAGAUGUGACAUGAGAAAAGUAUUGAGAAUACUUCUAUCACCUCAUCUUCAAGAAUCCGUAGGAAUUCUCCCAUGGUGGACUUUACGGUUAACCUGAACAGGUCUUGGAAAAAGGACUUUAAACAUUCUCCUGUUCUGUGGAAUAAGUAUACUUUUUUCUGGACAUACACCUUGUCAGUGAGUUCCAUGUGAUACUAGAGUUGCAUAGAUUUUUAACCUUUACGCCAAUGAAGAUCUGAGGCAAACAUUGCCCCUUUUUUAGAAGUUUGCAUUUGUCACUGAUAACUGUAAUAAUUGAUCUUGUUGAAAAGCCUGGGAAAUGAAGAUCUGAUAUGUCACUUUUACCGGCUUCCUCAACUGAAAAAGAAUACAAUGAAACACGCUGAGAAUUUUUGUGCUUUCUCAGUCUUGCUGAUGAUCUUUCUAUGGGCCUGAAGCGUGGAGAGUGCCAGAGAGGCUGAUCCUCAGCAGUGUGGCAGAGGAAAGUUGGGUGCGACUAAGGGGUAUGCGGUGCCCACAUGCCACUGGGUCCUCAGCAGUACCACCUGAUUGGAAGUGAUAUUGGUGGAAGACAACAUUUUGCCGCUUGGAAUUCUCACCUCCACACCAAAGAAGUACUGUUUUUGUCAUUUGCACCAGCUUCUUUCUCCAGGAAAGAUCAAAACGAUGCACUGCAAGGUUAACAUCCAAUUUUUAAUACAUGUAAUUCCCUGGAUUAUUUUUGUUGUGUUAUUAAAUAACUUAGAAUUUUUUUUACAAAGUCUGUUGAACCAAACACUGUAAGGCAUUAAUAACCUGGUGAGUUAUUUGAGGCCUUUUUUCCUCUCCUAGAAUUUUUGCACAAUUUAUAUUUUGAAUAAUAUCAGAGACAUCCUAGUAGAGUAAUGAAUUAGUACAUUUUAUAUGCAGAUACAUAGUGAAGCCUCCUUUCUUAUGCAUAUUUGACAAAUGGACAUGUAUAUUUCUCAUCUUCCCAUAUUUUUACUCCAUUUCCACAGGUCAUGUAGACCAAAAUGUGAAUGUCAUAUGAAAGAGUUUAAACAUUGCCCUUGAAAUAUGACAGAAAGUAUCAGAAAUAAUUAUACCAUUCCAUGCUCACAGGCCAGUGGGAAUUCUCACAGUAAGCAUUUUGUCCAGAGAAUAUUCUUCUUAGGGAACUAUAACAUUCCAAUGAUAAUGGUAGUCAGCCAUGUGGCUGGAUCAUCGUUCCUGUAUCCUGGUCUCUAUGACUUAGUGUGGUGAUGGUGUCAUUGUGUCCAAGUGUGACAGAAUUGUUAGUGUGUAGUGUCUGUCUCCUAUCUCAGGCUCACAGUCCCUUUUAUAAACAUGCCUGGAUUGAUGAUGGCUUCAGUAUCUUUUGGAAAUCUGGACUGAGCAAUAGAAUUGCUUCUCUCAAAUUGAUUUCAAGUCAUAUAAAAGGCCAUGUUACACAUAUAUUGUUAAUCUGAGGGAGGCUGUGAUCAUUUAAGUUGUAUUUUAUAAACACUAGGACCACCAGUAAGAAAACAAUUCAAAAAAUAUUAAAAGAACAACCAAAGAAUUAAAAUAGAAUAACCGAAAAGAUCUGUUUAACACAAAAGAAGGCAGUUAAAGAUGAACAGAGGAACCAAUAAGACAUAUAGAAAACAGAUAGGAAAAUGACAGACAUAAACCCAGCCAUAUGACAAUUAUAUUAAAUUUUUAAGAGAUUAGGAAAUUCCGUUGUUUUUUAAACAUGAGCAACUAUACGCUGUCUACAGAAGAGACACUUUAGAACAAAAGAUACAAAUAGUUGGAAAGUAAAAAGAUGGAAAAAGCUAUAUCCAGCGAAUCCAGAAGAGAGCAGAAGUGGCUAUUCUGACAUCAGAAAAAAGAGACUUUAAGAUAAAGUAUUGCUAGAGAGGAAGAAGGAUAGUAUUUAAUGAUAGAAGGGUUAAUAUGGAAUAUGUAACAAUUACAAUCAUAUCAGCACUAACAACAGUGCCCAAAACUACAUACACUGAAAUUUAACAUGAUUGAGGGGAUCAAUAGGCAAUUCAACAAUAAAAGCUUUUGUUCAUACCCUCUUCUUAAUCAGUGAUAAGUCAAUUAGAUAGAGCAUCAUUGAGGUUACAACAUACUUCAGCAAUGUUGUCAACCAAUUUGACCUGAGAUAGAUAGAUAGACAGUUAGACAGACAGACAGACAGACAGAGAAAACUUCACCCAACAACAGAAAUACAAAUUAUUUUCAAGCAUACCUGGAACAUUCUCCAGGAUAGAGUAUAUGUUAGGCUAUAAAACUGUACUCAAUAAAUUUAAGAUUGAAACCAUGUAGAGUAUGUUGUGUGACCAUAGAGGAAUUAGAAAUCAACACAGAAAUAAAUUUGGAGGUCACAAGAUAUUUGGAAAUUAACACACUUUACAGAGCCCAUUGGUCAAAAAUAUAUAUAUUAAACUAGAAAGGCCGGGGGUGGUUGCUUACACCUGUAAUUCCAGCACUUUGGGAGGCGUAGGUGGGCACAUCACUUGAGGCCAGGAGUUCAAGACCAACCUGGGCAACAUGGCAAAACCCCAUCUCUACAAAAAAAUACAAAAAAUGAGUUGAGCAUGGUGGUGCAUGCCUGUAGUCCCAGCUACUCAGGAGGCUGAGGUAGGGGAAUCACCUGAGCCCAGCAGGUAGAAGCUGCAUUGAACCAAGAUUGCACCACUGCAUACCAGCCUGGGCGACAAAGUGAGACCCUGUCUAAAAAAUAAAAGGAAUCCAGAAAACAUCUUGCAUAGAAUUUGAUACAACUAAAGACAUGCUUAGAGGGAUAUUUAUAGUUUUAAAUAACUGUAUCAGAAAAAAA